rnacentral:tRNA from 1 species
CUGUAGUUCAGUUGGUUAGAGCGUCAGAUUGUGGUUCUGAAUGUCGUGGGUUCGAGUCCCACCC